rnacentral:ncRNA from 2 species
AACGUUGAGCUCGGUCGACCUUUCGCGUCGACCCGCAAGCCGGAAGUAGCCCAUCCGCAAGGCGAAGCAACGCUCC